CAAAGAUAAAUAAACAUUUAAAAAAUUACAAAAAAAAAUAAUACAGCUUUAAAAAGAAUGAGGUGGGUGGGGAGCAGAUGACAAAGGAAUGGCCAGAUGUUGACAGUGUUGAAGUUGGGUACACAGGCAUACAUUAUAUUGUUUUCUCUGUUUUUGUGUAGGUUUGAAAAUUACCACGAAACUGCUUUUGUUUUACAAAUGUUGGGCCUUUUACAGAACUCACCUCCUACCUUUCCAACAACUCUGUCAUGGAGAAAUUCUGGAAGGAAAACAAGGUCCACUGUGCACCCAGUACAUUUUAUACACUGGGAAUUUUUUCCAAGUACUCUAAAGUAGUGACAUGCAUGUGGUGAUAGAGGAGGAGGGAAUGAAAUGUAUUUUCAGCAAGAAUUAAAGGUGUGCUGAAACAGA